GAUCAGCUAAACGUCGGAGACUACAUCCGCUCAGUCAACGGUAUAAACCUGGCCAAGUUCAGACAUGAUGAGAUCAUCAGUCUGCUGAAGAACGUGGGCGAGCGCGUGGUCCUGGAGGUGGAGUACGAGCUGCCUCCUGUCUCAGUGCAGGGCUCUGGUGUUGUCUUUAAAAAUGUGGAGGUUACGCUGCACAAAGAGGGGAACAGCUUCGGCUUUGUCAUCAGAGGUGGCGUUAAUGAGGACAGGAAUAAGUCCCGCCCGAUCGUCAUCGCAACCAUUAGACCGGGUGGACCAGCGGACAGG